rnacentral:rRNA from 1 species
GGGUGCGAUCCUACCAGCACUACAACACCGAAUUCC